rnacentral:tRNA from 1 species
GGCCAGGUAGCUCAGGGGUAGAGCAGUGGACUGAAAAUCCUCGUGUCGGUGGUUCAAAUCCGCCUCUGGCCA